CCUACGGGUGGCUGCAGUGAGGAAUAUUGGUCAAUGGCCGGGAGGCUGAACCAGCCAAGCCGCGUGAAGGACGAAGGUGCCAAGGAUUGUAAACUUCUUUUGUCAAGGGACAAAAUCAGCCUCGAGUGCGUGACCGAGGGUACUUGAAGAAAAAGCAUCGGCUAACUCCGUGCCAGCAGCCGCGGUAAUACGGAGGAUGCGAGCGUUAUCCGGAUUUAUUGGGUUUAAAGGGUGCGUAGGCGGGCUAUUAAGUCAGCGGUAAAAUCGUGGGGCUCAACUCCGGCGAGCCGUUGAAACUGGUGGUCUUGAGUGGGCGAGAGGUAUGCGGAAUGCGUGGUGUAGCGGUGAAAUGCAUAGAUAUUGCGCAGAACUCCGAUUGCGAAGGCAGCAUACCGGCGCCGAUCUGACGCUGAGGCACGAAAGCGUGGGUAUCGAACAGGAUUAGAUACCCCUGUAGUC
rnacentral:rRNA from 1 species